rnacentral:rRNA from 1 species
GAUGAACGCUGGUGGCGUGCCUAACACAUGCAAGUCGAGCGAUUCUCUUCGGAGAAGAGCGGCGGACGGGUGAGUAACGCGUGGGUAACCUGCCCUGUACACACGGAUAACAUACCGAAAGGUAUGCUAAUACGAGAUAACAUGCUUUUAUCGCAUGGUAGAAGUAUCAAAGCUUUUGCGGUACAGGAUGGACCCGCGUCUGAUUAGCUAGUUGGUGAGGUAACGGCUCACCAAGGCGACGAUCAGUAGCCGACCUGAGAGGGUGAUCGGCCACAUUGGAACUGAGACACGGUCCAAACUCCUACGGGAGGCAGCAGUGGGGAAUAUUGCACAAUGGGCGAAAGCCUGAUGCAGCAACGCCGCGUGAGCGAUGAAGGCCUUCGGGUCGUAAAGCGCUGUCCUCAAGGAAGAUAAUGACGGUACUUGAGGAGGAAGCCCCGGCUAACUACGUG